rfam:Brachypodium distachyon strain Bd21 chromosome 4, whole genome shotgun sequence.
AAUGUACUUCCUCCGUCCAACAAAGGAUGUCUCAACUUAAGUUUGAUUGCAUCUAUGCUAACUCAUGUCUACGUACAUUCAAAUUUUGACAAACUUGAGACAUUUUUUGUUGGACGGAGGGAGUAAUAG